rnacentral:rRNA from 1 species
CCUACGGGAGGCAGCAGUGAGGAAUAUUGGUCAAUGGCCGUAAGGCUGAACCAGCCAAGUCGCGUGAAGGAAGAAGGAUCUAUGGUUUGUAAACUUCUUUUAUAGGGGAAUAAAGGUAUCCACGUGUGGAUAUUUGCAUGUACCUUAUGAAUAAGCAUCGGCUAACUCCGUGCCAGCAGCCGCGGUAAUACGGAGGAUGCGAGCGUUAUCCGGAUUUAUUGGGUUUAAAGGGUGCGUAGGUGGUUUUUUAAGUCUGGGGGGAAAUUUUGGGGCUCAACCAUAAAAUUGCCGUUGAUACUGGAAGACUUGAGUGUGUUUGAGGUAGGCGGAAUGCGUGGUGUAGCGGUGAAAUGCAUAGAUAUAACGUAGAACUCCGAUUGCGAAGGCAGCUUACUAGGCCAUAACUGACGCUGAAGCACGAAAGCGUGGGGAUCAAACAGGAUUAGAUACCCUUGUAGUC